AGAAUGAACGUUGGCGGCGUGGAUUAGGCAUGCAAGUCGUACGGGCCGCAAGGCCAGUGGCGCAAGGGUGAGUAAGGCGACGGUAACCAACCCCAUGACUGGGUAUAGCCGCGGGAAACUGCGGGUAAUCCCCAGCGACGUCGCGACGAGGCAUCUCGUUGCGACCAAAGCUCCGGCGUCGUGGGACGGGCUGUCGUGGUAUUAGCUUGUUGGCGGGGUAACGGCCCACCAAGGCGGCGAUGCCUACCGGGCGUGCGAGCGUGGCCCGGCACACUGGGACUGAGACACUGCCCAGACUCCUACGGGAGGCUGCAGUCGAGAAUCUUCGGCAAUGGGCGCAAGCCUGACCGAGCGACGCCGCGUGGAGGACGAAGGCCUUCGGGUUGUAAACUCCUGUCGAGGGGGAAGAAGGGACGAAAGUCCUUGACUGAUCCCUGGAGGAAGCACGGGCUAAGUUCGCGCCAGCAGCCGC
rnacentral:rRNA from 1 species